rnacentral:lncRNA from 1 species
UGUAGGGAGAGCUGCAUUUGAAAUGGGAAAGUUGCUGGGCCUGGUGGCACAUGCCAGUGAUCCCAGCAGCCUGGGGAAGCUGAGGCAAGAAGAUCACAAGUUGGAAGCUCACCUGGGUAGCUUAGCUAGACUCUGUCUCAAAUAAAAAGGGUUGAGGAUAUAGCUCAGUAGUAAAGUACUCCUGGGUUCAAUCCCCAGUACUAAAAAGGAAAAAAAAAAAUGAAGUGGGUAAGUUUUGGGACUAGAGAUAGGGAGUAAGGAGAAAGAAUUGAAGGUUAGAGAGUGGAGAGAAUCCAACUUCCUUAUCUUUGAGAAAGAUGAAUAUAGGGUGGGGUGAUGACAGCACUAAAAUUAGGAAGGUUUAACUUCCUUGCCUGACCCAGUUAUUAAAGAGGUUUCAUGCAGGAUAAAUGGCUCCUUGAAUCUUGAAAGAUUCUAUUAUUUAUCACAUUUUGAUUGUUAACAUUAUAAAAUUCACAACUGGACACUGCAGUUUAAUCACAGCAAUGUUCCUCAAAUUUUGCAGCACAGUGGAAUUACCUGGAAUUUUAAAAAUAUUGGUCUGGACCCCAGUUAAAUCUUGCGGAGGAUGAGAUCGUAUAUAAACAUGCU